UACGUAGGGGGCAAGCGUUGUCCGGAAUCAUUGGGCGUAAAGAGCGCGUAGGCGGCCCAGUAAGUCCGCUCUGAAAGUCAGGGGCUCAACCCCUGAAUGCGGGUGGAUACUGCUGGGCUAGAGUCCGGAAGAGGCGAGUGGAAUUCCUGGUGUAGCGGUGAAAUGCGCAGAUAUCAGGAGGAACACCAAUUGCGAAGGCAGCUCGCUGGGACGUUACUGACACUGAGGUGCGAAAGCGUGGGGAGCAAACAGG
rnacentral:rRNA from 1 species